GAUGAACGCUGGCGGCGUGCCUAAUACAUGCAAGUCGAACGCAUUGUGGUUGAAAUGAUAUGAAGAACUUGUUCAGAUUUGAUUUUCAACAUUGCAAUGAGUGGCGAACGGGUGAGUAACACGUGGGAAACCUACCUCUUAGCAGGGGAUAACAUUUGGAAACAAAUGCUAAUACCGUAUAAUAAUUAAAACCGCAUGGUUUUAGUUUAAAAGAUGGUCUUGCUAAUCACUAAGAGAUGGUCCCGCGGUGUAUUAGUUAGUUGGUGAGGUAAUGGCUCACCAAGACAAUGAUACAUAGCCGAGUUGAGAGACUGACCGGCCACAAUGGGGACUGAGAACACGGCCCACUACUCCUACGGGAGGCAGCAGUAGGAAG
rnacentral:rRNA from 1 species